ACUUAACAAUAUGGGACAAUUUGGGACAUUAAUGAGCAGUACAGGGGCUCCACAAGGGACAGUGCUGGCGCCAUUCCUGUUCACAGUGUAUACAUUAGACUUCAAAUACAGUACUGAGUCCUGCCACAUCCAGAAAUACUCAGAUGACACCGCUAUUGUGGCAUGUAUCAGAAAUGGACAAGAAGCUGAAUACAGAGAUCUGAAGAAAUGAGUGGAGUGAUCGGGGAAAUUUGUUAAUACAAACAGACAUGAGAUCGCAGGAAGCCACGCCUGUUUGUUAUGGUAUCAGUUUACUGCCAUUGAAUCAACUGUGAGUCAGCUGUAUCAUCUGUUUUUGUUUGCACUGUUAUAACUCUAAUUAAAAAAAACACAGGAUGACAAGUUUAAUAAAAUACCUGAACUUUGAUUAUUAUGUCUGUCUCCAGCUAAGAUCCAUAUGAUAAUUACUGGUAGACUGCAUUAUUAAAUUACUUAUUGGACUUAUAUUUGUUGCCAAUCUGAUUUUGAUCUCUAAAUCCCAUUAAUAUGGAAUAUUUUAAUCAUUGUAAAGUCUCAGAAACUCUUCCCAUAAGGUUAAAAACUUCAGGGAAAAUAUAAUCCAUGCAACACUUUUCGCACUUGGCAUCUAUUAUUAUGAUCAGGCUGAUAUGAAACGUACUUGACAAUAUGGCUAAACAUCUGUGCAAUAAAAACACAAAAGGUGAUACUCUCUCCUGAUCUCCGCUCACUGUAAUGAACUCAAAACACCACCAUUUGAGGAAGUUAGUGGACCCCCCUGUGUGAUGCUGAUGAAAAAUGUUGACAUUUUCAGGACUGUUCACAUCAUCGUUGUCACAUCUCAGUCCAAAUUCUCAAACUUAAAGAAUACCAAAAGGCCGCAGCAUCAUAAAAUAACAGCAGGGAUAGUUUCUAUUAUAAUUUAACCCCUUCAAAAUCCAUGUUAUGAAAAUUGCCAGGCUCGGCAGAUGUAGUGACAUCCCUUUCCCUAACAAGAUCUGGAAAGGUAUAUAACCCUCUGCUUCAGAUGCUAGUACAGCCUUUUUUUUUCCGCCAGCCUAAUCCUCCCAUGUGGGAGAACAGAACUUGUCCAAGGUAUACUCUUUAUGUUGAACACAUGUAGAAUUAUGUUGUAAACAAAGAAGUGUUUCAAAAAGCCACAGCAUGUUUAAUAUUUUAAAUUCUUCAGAGUAGUCCCUUCUGCUAUGAUUGCAGCUUUGCACGCUCUUGGCAUUUGCUAAUUGGUGUCAUGACGUUGUUUGCCGGAAUAGUUUUCAACAGCUGAAGUUUUCAAAGGUGCUGAAAACUUUUUGGCUGCUUGUCUUACACUCUGCUGUCUAACUCAACUGAAAACCAACCUAACUGGGUUAGGAUCAGAUGAUUGUGGGGACCAGGUCAUGUGACACAGCACUCCAACCCUAUCCCUCUUAAAAUAGCCCUUACACAGCCUGGAGGUGUGUUUUGCAUCAUUGUCCUGUUCAAACUCAAAUGAUGGUACAAACCAGAUGGGAUGGCGUGUUGCUGCCAAAUGCUGUGAUAGCCACACUGAUUAUCAGUGUGCCUUGAAUAAAUCGUCAAACCAAAAUACAGAUUUCUAAUUUUUUUUAAAAUAUCAAUUACUUCUGUUUCUUGGCCCAAGCAGUUCUCUUCUUGUUGUUGAUCUUCCUCAGAACAGAUUUUUUUUUUUUUUUCAGAAAUUUGACCAUCGGGGCUUGAUUCUCAGAUUCCUCUGAACAGCUGAUGUCUAGACCUGUCUGCUAGUUGAGCCUGUGAAGCAUUUAUGUGGGCUCUAAUGUCCCUUCCAGAUCAAUCGUUUUUGUGUUAGUUCAUUGGUAUUGUGAUAUCUAUUACAUAUGGAGAACAUUUACUUCUGUCACUCCAAAACAUAAUCAACACUUAAAUAAUUUGAUUGUAAUAAUACUCUUUGAUUGGUUACAUUGUCUGAGAUACCAAUAGUCCUCGUGGUAAGUCCAGCCUGAGGGGGACCCAUUCCUCCAAGGACUUUUGAGUCCACUUAGUACAUAUGUCUGGAUAGAACUCAACCUUACAAGAUUCCUUUUGAGAUAUGAUGUAUAUAUGGCUUUGUCUAGACUUAAAUAGGCUGGAGAGAGCGCUUAGGAGACAGGCAAAAAAAGAAGCAUUGAUGAAGUUGUUGUAUUUAUAUAUUAUGUCACAAAAACUUAAACAGCCUACUUUGUAUUUCAAGAAGAUAAACUAUAUUGAAGUUGAUCGAAGAGUUACCUUAAUUAACCCCUCAGUUUAGAAUAAAAGUGUUUUCUCUUCAAUCAGAUUGAAAUAAUCUUAAACCCCUAAAAGACCCAAACCUUGCCAUAUUGUGCUUUCUGCAGUGCGAGGACAGCCAGCGAUCUUCUGCUGCUGUUGCCCCUCGGCUACCUGAGGCUGCCUGUCCCAGUCUGUUCCCGGUUUAGAGGGGAAAUCUGAUACUGUCCCUGUGAAUUGCUCUCCAAGAACUUGUACCUCAUCUGUGAAAACAGCUCAGAACUACUUAUAAAGCCAAGUACAAAGCAAAACUAAAGGGAAAUAUACUACAGACUGCCCUAAUAUGAACAUAAUCUACAAAAUCUAACCAUCUAAAAGUAAAUUAAUCUGGCCUGCGAAGAUGUCAAUGACACGAAAGCAGCCAUCAGUUAUGUUGAUGUGUGUUAAAGAGGCAUCAAGAAGUCUUGUUAAACUGCACUUCACGGAUAAACUCUUCCAUUUAAGUUUCUUUUUACCAACAAGGUUAAAAAAGUAUCACUGAAACUGAUCCAUGGAUUCAAUUAAGUUAUUUUCUUUUUUCUUUUAAAACAAACGAUAAAGUCUAGUGAUGUAUGCUCUGUCUAUAAAUUUAAUCCUGAAACGUGCACUUAUUUCUUGUAAAUUUACAUGCAAAUUGUGGACUGAUGUAAUUUUAUUAGUAAUAACAGCUGAAAUACAGUCUUAAAUCAAAUGCAACGACAGGAAAAACCGGACUGGUAACAACCAUAGCGCAGUCAUGUCAUGCCGAAUAGGCGGAGCAAUGAUGUAGGGGAGAGUGGGGUAAGAUGAGCCAUUUUUCAUAUUUCGGAUCACUACAUCAAGGCAAUUCUAGUUUUGUCUUUAACUAGUGGAUCUGCAUAUAUUUCAAGAUGUUGUGCAUCCCCGCAUACCAACAGAGUGAGUGUAAACAUAACUGUCUUGAUAAUAUAGCAUGCCAAAAAAAGUGGUCUUCUAUGGUCAACUUACCCUGUGUAUGGGGUAAGUUGACCUCCAAGCUAAAAUAGUGGACUUUUAUGUUGGUUUUUGACCUCGUGUUGUAGCUCAUAGAUACCACAAUUGAUCUAUAAAACAAACUGAAAAUGAUCUUUUUUGGUCUGAAUACAAUUCUAAUAACACUUAUGACAGAAUAAAUUCACUUUCAAGGGUGAAAAAAUGCUUUGUUUUUUUAAAUAAAUGUCUAACCCCUUCACCCAUGUGCUUCUAACCUUCACAGACUCCAUGAAUUGAUUCCCAUCUCCUAAAUAUUUGGUCACACGAUCAAUUUCUUUUACCAUUUCCAAGCAAUAGGGGGUGGCUCAACGUACCCCACUCUCCCCUACACGGGAGAAAUUACUGUACCAACAGAUAUAUCCUAACCGAUAUUAACCUUUUUGUGGAAGGGGUUAAACUUGUCAGAAAGUUUUAUUCUUAAAUCACACAAAACAACCGCACUGACUGGAGUCCUCUGCACUUCCUGAUCAACCUGGAGCGUCUACACCUGAAGACAGCCUCCUCCUGCUUUUAGGUGUAGCCUCCAAAUGACUCCUUUCUGCAAGACACGACUAUUGCUGGCC